rnacentral:rRNA from 1 species
GACAGAGGGUGCAAACGUUGCUCGGAAUUACUGGGCGUAAAGCGCGUGUAGGCGGUCACGCAAGUCAGGUGUGAAAGCCCUGGGCUCAACCCAGGAAGUGCACAUGAUACUACGUGGCUGGAGUACUGAAGAGGAGAGCGGAAUUCCCGGUGUAGAGGUGAAAUUCGUAGAUAUCGGGAGGAACACCAGUGGCGAAGGCGGCUCUCUGGGCAGAUACUGACGCUGAGGAGCGAAAGCGUGGGGAGCGAACAGG